CUUUCUGCAGGAGUCUUUAGAGUUUUCAAGCACUUUGUUACUGGCUUUCGUGUCCUGAAGUGAAACUGACCAGAAACAUUAAACUCUCUGUAUGAAUCAUAUGGAGUGAAAAUUGCUACUCAGUGAAGCAAACAGAUAGUCCAAAGUGUUACAAAGUGAGAAGAUGCUUAUCAAGAAAAAUGAAAGGGUUGAUGAUAUGCCAGAAGUAUUUCAUAGACCCAUUUUCAACUUCCUAUUGAAAAUUGUUACUGAAAAAGAAGACAAGAGAAGACUACACGUUAUGAACUAAGAGUUGGCACAGGGAAAGAGGAAAAAUAAAAGCAUGACUGGGAACAAGAAGACCUGCAGGGUCAACUGACAUGAGGAACUACUUCCCCCUUGAAAAUGCAAGAAGAACCAGUCUCGGCAUAAGGUAGACACCUAAUAUAGCAGAGGAGAAGGUCAGAAAUAACAGAAGGUUUGCAUGAAAUUAUUGAAUCAAAGCUCACCAAACAUCUUGGUCAUUAGUUUUAUGAGACAGUAAACCACGAUACUAUCAUCAGUGUUUUUUGUUUCUGAUAUGGUUUGGCUGUGUGUCCCCACUCAAUGCCAGCCCGUGAAAGCAGCUGGGAGGGAGGCUAUACCCUGCAAAGCCACAGGGGCGGAGCUGCCCAAGACCAUGGGAAACCACCUCUUGCAUCAGCAUGACCUGGAUAUGAGACAUGGAGUCAAAGGAGAUCAUUUUGGAGCUUAAGAUUUGACUGCCCUGCUGGAUUUCAGACAUGCAUGGGGCCUGUAGCCCCUUUGUUUCAGCCAAUUCCUCCCAUUUGGAAUGGCUGUAUUCACCCAAUGCCUGUAUUCACUCAAUGCCUGUAUCCCCAUUGUAUCUAGGAAGUAACUAACUCGCUUUUGAUUUUACAGCUCAUAGGCAGAAGGUAUUUGCCUUGUCUCAGAUGAGACUUUGGACUGCGGACUUUUGAGUUAAUGCUGAAAUGAGUUAAGACUUUAGGGGACUGUUGGGAAGGCAUGACUGUUUUCGAAAUGUGAGGACAUGAGAUUUGGGAGGGGUCAGGGUGGAAUGCUAUGGUUUGGCUCUGUGUCCCCACCCAGAUCUCGAAUUGUACUCCCAUAAUUCCCACGUGUUGUGGGAGGGACCCAGUGGGAGAUAAUUGAAUCAUGGUGGUGGUUUCCCCUAUACUGUUCUCAUGGUAGAUGAAUCAGUCUCUUGAGAUCUGAUGGUUAGAUAAGGGAAAAUCCAUUUUGCUUGGCUCUCAUUCUCUUUCUUUGCCUGCUGCCAUCCAUGUAAGAUGUGACUUGCUCCUCCUUGCCUUCCACCAUGAUUGUGAUGUCUCCCCAGCCAUGUGGAACUGUAAGUCCAUUAAACAUUUUUCCUGUAAAAAUUACCGAGUUUUGGAUAUGUCUUUAUCUGCAGCAUGAAAACAGACUAAUACAGUUACUUAUAGUCAAAAUCUUUCUAAAUGAUAGAUUGUAGUGUUCAUAUACUAUAUGAUUAAUAAAUACUUGUAGAAUUUAAAAUUAUUCAAUAUAUUGGUUCAUUCUAUUAACUCUGUCUAUAGGAAACCAAAGCACUCAGAUCCCAUGGCUAUGGCCCAGCUACUACUAUUUUCCUUGUGGUCAGAUAUAGCCCAUAGUAUCUAAAGAGAGCCUAAACAGCCUCUGCAAAAUUAUCCUACUAAUUUCAACCUUAGCCAGCGAAGGAAUAUUUCCCACAAUUUAAAUCAAUAUGCCAGCAUUGUGGCUGUAUCUUCUUGUCCUUGGAGGCAAAAAUAUUUAUUUCUGUCAAUUAGUAAGUUCCAUGAGGUGAGAAAUCACCUUUUAAAAUAUUUUCCAAAUGCAAUUAAUACUUUCGGUCUCCCAAAAGUAUUUGAGAACAGAAACCAGAUAAAUUUUCUUAAUCACAUGCCAAAGAAAAAAAAUCAAACCAGAAAUUGUAUUAAUUAUUAUCUUUUAGUUUAAUCAUGAUUCUCAGCCCUGGUAGAACAGAAUUAUCUGCACAACUUUUAAAGAAUAUCUCUACUUCAUCUGCACCCCCAGAAGUUCAUUUUUCGUUGGUUUAGACUGGAACUUAGAGAUAAUUAGUUGACUAAAGUUUUCAGGUGAUUUUAAUUACAGCCCAGAUUAUAACACAGUAGUUGAAGCUGUGUAAGAAGAAACCUCAAAGCUAAAUUGUUCUUUUUGCUUUAGGUAAACCGUCAGUGUGUUUCCAUAGACCAGGUUUUGACUCCCAGUAUCAGGAAUUCUACCUCAUAUAAUUGUGCAGUUGAGCUGUUGCACUCCACGUAAGACUUCAGCCAAGAAGACAACAGGGUAGCUGGAAGGCCAGACUUCUCUCAGCCAUCCUGGAGUCAACUUAAGAUGCAGACACCUUUUUCUAAUUGGCAUUGUCAGUGGGGGGCACUUUUUUCAAAUCUGUCCCCUUGGGGAAAGCUAUUUCUCUCAUAUGCAUCAAAGCACUGUAUAUGCCUGUUGGCCCUACCUAUAUGUAUCUCAGGAUUAAAUAAAUAAAUAAAUAAAUAAAAGCUAUUGCCUUGUUUUUCCAGGAAUAGUUCUGUAGUUUUUGCAGAACAAGAAGUCUGCAUUCAAAGUAACAUGCAGUUUCACUGUUAUUGCCCUGUCCAAGCUUGUGGUGUAAUUUCUUCUUCAUUCACUCAGUCUCACAAAAGGGAUAAUGAAAUCAACUUUCAUCCAACUUCAGGCAAUCAUAAAACUCUGAGAUUUACAGCUACCACUGCAAAGUCAGUGAGUAUUGUAAGAGCCUUGAAUUAGAACAAGUAGUAAAGAAUCCAUGUAAGAAUAGGAAGCUCUGAGGUUGUAUAUACUAAGACCUUAGUGUUACCUAGACUCACCUCACAGCUUGUGGAAAAAGCUGAUUCCUGGUCCUACCAUAGAUACUCUGACUUGGAUCUGAGGAGGGCCAGCUUCAUCUUGAGAAUUCUAUGUAGGGUAGGGCUUAGGGGAGGCCAUCUGGUUGGAAGACGAAGCUGGGAGGUUUGCCAUGAGGCUAUGUUUGUAAAGAAAGCACACUCUUUUUAACUUAGUGUGUAUGUUACAGAUCAAUAUCAAUAUAAAAGUUUCCUAAACUUUUACUCACACUUUAUAUAAAAGUGAUUACAUUGGCCAUAUUAAAAGUAAGAUUUUUAUUUGGGAAUGAAGGGAGCUGAUGGAGACUGGGUUGGCUACUGCCCUUGGCACCACCACUGAGUUUAACCCAGAUGUCUGCCUUUUUAACCAUCACCAUAGAAAAGCCUAGUUUAUUUAUUCAUCCACUCAACAAAAUGUUUAUUGAGAUACCAGUAUGUGCUGGACAUUGUUAGAGAUAUGUUCUUGGGAC
rnacentral:lncRNA from 1 species